rnacentral:lncRNA from 10 species
AUGGGCUUUUUCCUUAUCAAGAGGCAUACUGCAUUGGAGGUUUGUUAGAGGAUUGUUCCAGCCUGCUUUUGCUAUUCAAUGUUGUGCCUGACUUUCUUCACAGAAUAGAACCGUUUGGCAGCUUACAAGAAUUUCCAGAAAGUACCAGGUAGAUCUAUACUUAUGAUUUGUGUUUUUCUUCUAUAAAGAAGUAUCUCUGGAUGUCAAAUUAAAGAUUGCUACAGAAUGCAGGCUGAAAGCU